UCAAAAGGACAGUGAUUAUUACUGUACUGCCAGUAACGACAUAAGCAGGGAGGAGAGUGAGUUCAUCUCUGUGCAGGUUCUGGUGCCUGCAAACAGCAACUGUAUCUAUGUUGUUAAUAUUCAGGGCCAACCCAUUUAUGACUGUGCAGACAGAAUGAGCACCACCACAGUCACAACUCCACCUCUGACCUCCUGCCAAGCUGCCAGGAAAAAGAGUGAUAACACAAGAAACCAAACUUCACAACUGAAUGAAACUGCCCACGGCAGGGCAUGGACCGGGCUGCCACUUUGGUAUACAUUACUACGCUGGGGUUCUUUUCUGGCCUUGCUGAUAACUUUGUGCGUAGUUGUGAAAUGCACAAAAAGAAGAAAAAAAAAAUAUGCCAACCGAAGCAAGAAUGCUCACUUCAGGCGAAUUUCUCAUGCGGCUCAGUGAGCUGCACUUUAGGGUGGUAGUUCUGUGGAAGUUAAAAUGAGCCUCUGUGACAUUGGUUUUGUGGCUUUAUUGUUGACCAAAGUUCUUUGAUCACGUGAGCAUUUGUGAAGUGGGUAGGCCAUAAUGUGUGUCAGCCUGUUUAUCAGGAUGUCUCAUGCAACAUUUAUCAAAAUGGUCUUUAAUUUAUUUGAAAUAAUCGAUUAACAAAGGGUCUACCAGAGCGUUCGGAUACAAGUCAUCCCAGAUCCUUGGUUGCUUUACUAGUUAUUGCUUGAAAGAGCAAUGACACCACUUGUAUUGUACAUUAAUAACUUACAAAAAAAAGCAACAAAGCU